rnacentral:hammerhead_ribozyme from 1 species
GCACUGCUGAGGAGACCUAUAAUAGGACGAAACGGCCGUCCAGUGU